AGAAUAGAUGCAAUUAAGAGUAAGCUGCUAACUUAACUCUUUAGCGGUUUAACUCCGUUAAUAUUCUU
rnacentral:tRNA from 1 species